CCUACGGGAGGCUGCAGUGAGGAAUAUUGGUCAAUGGACGAGAGUCUGAACCAGCCAAGUAGCGUGAAGGAUGACUGCCCUAUGGGUUGUAAACUUCUUUUAUAUGGGAAUAAAACGUUCCACGUGUGGGAUUUUGUAUGUACCAUAUGAAUAAGGAUCGGCUAACUCCGUGCCAGCAGCCGCGGUAAUACGGAGGAUCCGAGGGUUAUCCGGAUUUAUUGGGUUUAAAGGGAGCGUAGGUGGUUUGUUAAGUUCGUUGUGAAAGUUUUCGGCUCAACCGUAAAAUUGCAGUUGAAACUGGCAGUCUUGAGUACAGUAGAGGUGGGCGGAAUUCGUGGUGUAGCGGUGAAAUGCUUAGAUAUCACGAAGAACUCCGAUUGCGAAGGCAGUUCACUGGACUGCAACUGACACUGAGGCGCGAAAGUGUGGGUAUCAAACAGGAUUAGAUACCCGGGUAGUC
rnacentral:rRNA from 1 species